rnacentral:rRNA from 1 species
ACAGCAGUCGCCGCGGGAAUACGAAGGGUGCAAGCGUUACUCGGAAUUACUGGGCGUAAAGCGUGCGUAGGUGGUGGUUUAAGUCCGUUGUGAAAGCCCUGGGCUCAACCUGGGAAUUGCAGUGGAUACUGGGUCACUAGAGUGUGGUAGAGGAUAGUGGAAUUUCCGGUGUAGCAGUGAAAUGCGUAGAGAUCGGAAGGAACAUCUGUGGCGAAGGCGACUAUCUGGGCCAACACUGACACUGAGGCACGAAAGCGUGGGGAGCAAACAGGAUUAGAGACCCCUGUAGUCCCUGUCUCUUAUAA